AACGAACGCUGGCGGCAGGCCUAACACAUGCAAGUCGAACGCCGUAGCAAUACGGAGUGGCAGACGGGUGAGUAACGCGUGGGAACAUACCCCUCGGUUCGGAAUAACUCAGGGAAACUUGAGCUAAUACCGGAUACGUCCGAGGUCUUAAUCGGCCUUGGAGAAAGAUUUAUCGCCGGAGGAUUGGCCCGCGUCUGAUUAGCUUGUUGGUGAGGUAAUGGCUCACCAAGGCGACGAUCAGUAGCUGGUCUGAGAGGAUGAUCAGCCACAUUGGGACUGAGACACGGCCCAAACUCCUACGGGAGGCAGCAGUGGGGAAUCUUGCGCAAUGGUCGAAAGACUGACGCAGCGACGCCGCGUGCGGGAGGAAGCUCUUCGGGGGUGUAAACCGCUGUUGCCCCGGAAACGAAACGCAGGAUUCAUCCUGCUUGACGGUACCGGGUGAGGAAGCGCCGGCUAACCUCUGUGCCAGCAGCCGCUGUAAG
rnacentral:rRNA from 1 species